GGAUGGGGGCGGGGCCUAGCUGGGAGGAAGAACCCGGAAAAGAUGGAGUCACCACGAAGCCCCCAUGCUGGCCCGGAGCCUUGCCGCCCGCCGGCCUGGAGCCAAGGAUACCGCGGUCAGCCCCGUCCCAAGAAUCUCCCCUCCCCCAAAAGCCCACCCCAGGGCGUUUUGACCCCCGACGGCGGGGCUGCAGCGAGAGUGCAUGAGCCCGAGGAGGCAGGGUCUGAUGGGGGCCCGGAGUUCCGCGGCUGUUUUCACCUCCAAAGAAACUUUCCCGGACCUCCCGACUGCGCGACGCUCCAACCAACCGCCCGCAGCCCGCCCCCGUCGGCCGCCCCGCCCCUCCCCGCCCCCGGCAUGCUAAUGAAGGCCUCGGCGAACGGUCCCAUUGGAUGUCUAGGAGGCAGAUGCAGCUGCUUUGGAAAACAGACUGGCAUUUCCUCAAAGGGUUAAAUAAAUGUGGAAUCACCAUGCAA
rnacentral:lncRNA from 10 species